AGAGUUUGAUCCUGGCUCAGGAUGAACGCUAGCGACAGGCUUAACACAUGCAAGUCGAGGGGCAGCGGGGGUGCAGGCUUGCCUGCACCUGCCGGCGACCGGCGCACGGGUGAGUAACACGUAUGGAACCUGCCCGCCACAGGGGGAUAACCCGGGGAAACCCGGCCUAAUACCCCAUGCCGCCCGGACCGGGCAUCCGGACCGGGCGAAAGGAGGAAUCCGGUGGCGGCUGGGCAUGCGGCGCAUUAGCUUGACGGCGGGGUAACGGCCCACCGUGGCGACGAUGCGUAGGGGUUCUGAGAGGAAGGCCCCCCACACUGGAACUGAGACACGGUCCAGACUCCUACGGGAGGCAGCAGUGAGGAAUAUUGGUCAAUGGGCGGAAGCCUGAACCAGCCAAGUCGCGUGAGGGAAUAAGGCCCUACGGGUCGUAAACCUCUUUUGCCGGGGAGCAAGGGCGGGGACGAGUCCCGGCCCGGAGAGUACCCGGAGAAAAAGCAUCGGCUAACUCCGUGCCAGCAGCCGCGGU
rnacentral:rRNA from 1 species